rnacentral:rRNA from 1 species
UACGGAGGGUGCGAGCGUUGUCCGGAAUCACUGGGCGUAAAGGGCGCGUAGGCGGCAGGCCAAGCGUGCGGUGAAAGUCCGGGGCUCAACCCCGGAUCUGCCGUGCGGACUGGUUUGCUAGAGCACUGCAGAGGCGAGUGGAAUUCCGGGUGUAGCGGUGGAAUGCGCAGAUAUCAGGAGGAACACCGGUGGCGAAGGCGGGUCUCUGGGCAGUAACUGACGCUGAGGAGCGAAAGCGUGGGGAGCGAACAGG